GCUAUGCCCAGUGGUUCUGUACUUCCCGUUUGUUGUCCCAGCUGCACAGAAAUGCCUGCCAGGAACAACAGAGAGCUGGGAACUGCUCACUUCUCUCCUCCUCAACCCCAUGUGGAAGGGCUUGUGAGCAGAGUUCUGACUUCGCAGUAUGAGGCAUGAGGAAUCAGAGCUGCAGAAGAACAAAAUGAAAUAAGUGUUAUCUGGCGAAGUUCAACUUCUGUAAUGCUGAGUUGGUGCAGGAAAAAAAUGAUUUGUG